ACCAAGACCUAAAAGAACCAAAGUUGAUGAUUGUGUAGUUCUUGAUGUAGCCACCCGACCAAAUCCCUAUAGUCUUUCUUUAGUAGCAGAUGAAAAUGAUGCUUUUGAAAUAUGUUAUUCUGAUGAGAACAGUAUUGUUCCUUGUACUCGUGGUGAGGUUAGGAAGAAUGAAAAUGGUCCAGAAAAUGCAAUGGAUAAGCAUGGUAUAUUUCA